AUUGAACGCUGGCGGCAUGCCUUACACAUGCAAGUCGAACGGCAGCAUGGAGAGCUUGCUCUCUGAUGGCGAGUGGCGAACGGGUGAGUAAUGCAUCGGAACGUACCGUGUAAUGGGGGAUAACGUAGCGAAAGUUACGCUAAUACCGCAUACGACCUGAGGGUGAAAGCAGGGGAUCGCAAGACCUUGCGUUAUACGAGCGGCCGAUGUCAGAUUAGCUAGUUGGUAGGGUAAAGGCCUACCAAGGCGACGAUCUGUAGCGGGUCUGAGAGGAUGAUCCGCCACACUGGGACUGAGACACGGCCCAGACUCCUACGGGUGGCUG
rnacentral:rRNA from 1 species